UACGAAGGAUCCAAGCGUUAUCCGGAUUUAUUGGGUUUAAAAGGGUGCGUAGGCGGGUUGUUAAGUCAGUGGUGAAAUCUUUGCAGCUUAACUGUAAAAUUGCCAUUGAUACUGACGAUCUUGAGUACACUUGAAGUGGGCGGAAUAUGUCAUGUAGAGGUGAAAUUCUUAGAGAUGACAUAGAACACCGAUUGCGAAGGCAGCUCACUAAAUUGUAACUGAACGCUGAGGCACGAAAGCGUGGGGAUCAAACAGG
rnacentral:rRNA from 1 species